GGGCCCUCAGGGCAGGACAGUGGUGGGAAGCCGACCGCGCGGGGGACAGCGGGCGGCGAGGGCAGGGCCGGAGCUGUGGCACCCGCGCUGCACAGGCGCUUUGCCUCCGGCGCCUUGCCACACGGAGCAGGAAUUUCGGCGGGAGGGACUCUGCCCCCGCUCUCCCACUUUCUCCACCUGUCAGGGGCAGCUGGCAGCACAGCACUGCGUCCCGGCCGGAAGGCAGUGGGGCUGGCUGGACAGAAUGUGGGCCCUCCCUUUAACAGAUACGCAGAGUGAAUAGAACCGUACCCCACAACAGCCAAAUAUUUAUGGGAUGAAUGAAUGAAACGGGGACGGUGCUCAUGUAAACUGACUCCAGUCGUCUCAAACUGAAGUCAAAGAUCAAAGCCUGAAGCAAGAUUUUCUCUGACGUAGGAUCACCACAUUGUCAACCCACCUUGGACAACUGUUUCAUAGAACUGGGACUUAGAGAUGGCUCUGAACGCAAAGGUCCAGGGAAAGAGCAGGCUGUCAUUUUGGUCUCUACUACCUAGGCUCAUGACGUUGGGACCCUUUGUUUCCUCACUGCAAAACGAGGAUGCUACGGAACCUGAGGUAAGGGCUGUUUUAAGGGAUAAGUGAGAUAUGCCCCGUAAAGCACUUCACGUCGUGCCUGAACAUCACGCAGCCCUAUAAACAGUAGUUGACUACUAGUGGGCACCUUGCUUUAACAGAGGAAAACAAGGUUUCACAAGGCAGAGGUCUAGUCUCUGGUUCUACCACUCACUCUGAGGGCCUUGGGAAAAUCACUGCAACUCUCUAAAUGCAUUUCCCAUAAUCAUAAACCAGGUGAUUGAGUGAAGUUUCCAAACGAAAACAAAACUUGUGAACACUGACGCAUCAAAGAAAUCCUACAGGAAAAUCAAAUCGGGUUUCUUGUUAACUACCCUCACUCAACUUUACAGAUAUAAAACGCUACAGACAUUUGUAACAGGCAUAACUACCCCCCAAAAACAUGGGCAUGUCUCAUUUCAAAUAUGAACAGAAACCUGGUAUUUAACAAACACGAAUUUAUCAUUAACAUAUAAAACACAGAACGCUCAGACUGUUUUUAAAAAGAAUUGUUUAUUUACUGAACCUGGGGCAUAUCAGAUACACAACCAAUUCCAAAUUUACAUCUGUUAAUUCAAUUUUGAAGUGUUUUCACACACACACAAAACUGGCAUGCAACAGCUGUCUUAAGGUGAAACACUCACCUUAUCGAUAAGCUGUUGCAAGUUAUUUUCACCCAAGGUUGAAAAAAUUGUUUAUCCUGAACAUGAAAACCUGUAACAAAUUUAAAUUAAUUAUAUAAAACUCCUUACUUGUAGUUUUCCCCUUGCAGAGAUCCAAAAAAAAAAUGUGCAAGUAACUAAAAUACAUGUCACAACAUAAUCCUGGAUCACCCCCACACCAAACCAGAUGCUCCUUUAAUUUUAAACCCAUCAUCAGAGAUCAAGAGAAACGCGUUUCAUUUCGUACAAAACAAAAUUCACAUGUGCCAAAAAUGAAAGACCCAAGAGGAACAAAAACAAAAACCCUAGUACUGACACUAAUGUUCAGUACCCUAGUUAAACAGUGGCCCAAAAUGCCACUGAUCAAAAAUAAAAUAGUGGCUGUGUAUCACUGCAAUGAAAUCCAAGAGGCUUUAACCCUUUGGCAUCAGAAAUCCAGAUUUUUCCAAUUAUGUGAGCACACACUUCCUACAUGCCAAAAGUAGAGAACAUGGACAUGUCAGGACAGGAAAAAAAAAAAAACUACCAUUUGCUGAAACACACAGAGAAUCAG